rnacentral:rRNA from 1 species
AAGUGUGGACGCCAGUCUGCAUGGAGCCGACCUUGAAAUACCACCCUUUAAUGUUUGAUGUUCUAACGUGGACCCGUGAUCCGGGUUGCGGACAGUGUCUGGUGGGUAGUUUGACUGGGGCGGUCUCCUCCUAAAGAGUAACGGAGGAGCACGAAGGUUGGCUAAUCCUGGUCGGACAUCAGGAGGUUAGUGCAAUGGCAUAAGCCAGCUUGACUGCGAGCGUGACGGCGCGAGCAGGUGCGAAAGCAGGUCAUAGUGAUCCGGUGGUUCUGAAUGGAAGGGCCAUCGCUCAACGGAUAAAAGGUACUCCGGGGAUAACAGGCUGAUACCGCCCAAGAGUUCAUAUCGACGGCGGUGUUUGGCACCUCGAUGUCGGCUCAUCACAUCCUGGGGCUGAAGUAGGUCCCAAGGGUAUGGCUGUUCGCCAUUUAAAGUGGUACGCGAGCUGGGUUUAGAACGUCGUGAGACAGUUCGGUCCCUAUCUGCCGUGGGCGCUGGAGAACUGAGGGGGGCUGCUCCUAGUACGAGAGGACCGGAGUGGACGCAUCACUGGUGUUCGGGUUGUCAUGCCAAUGGCACUGCCCGGUAGCUAAAUGCGGAAGAGAUAAGUGCUGAAAGCAUCUAAGCACGAAACUUGCC